AAAUUUCAAAUUUUUCCCCACCCAGGUCCGAGCGAAAAUCGAAAAUUUCAACUCUUGAUAAGCAAACUUGAAAAUUCAAAUUUCAACUUUUUCCCCGAUGUGGCGGGAAAAGUUGAAAUUUGAAUUUUUAAGGCUUUGACGAAGAGAUGAAAUUUUCGAUUUUUGCUCGGACCUGUUCAAGGAAAAAGUUGAAAUUU
rnacentral:miRNA from 1 species